CCCCAGACUCCUACGGGAGGCAGCAGUGGGGGAUAUUGCACAAUGGGGGGAACCCUGAUGCAGCGACGCCGCGUGAGCGAUGAAGUAUUUCGGUAUGUAAAGCUCUAUCAGCAGGGAAGAAAAUGACGGUACCUGACUAAGAAGCCCCGGCUAACUACGUGCCAGCAGCCGCGGUAAUACGUAGGGGGCAAGCGUUAUCCGGAUUUACUGGGUGUAAAGGGAGCGUAGACGGCUGUGCAAGCCAGAUGUGAAAGCCCGGGGCUCAACCCCGGGACUGCAUUUGGAACUGUGUGGCUGGAGUGUCGGAGAGGCAGGCGGAAUUCCUAGUGUAGCGGUGAAAUGCGUAGAUAUCAGGAGGAACGCCGGUGGCGAAGGCGGCCUGCUGGACUGCGACUGACGUUGAGGCCCGAAAGCGUGGGGAGCAAACAGGAUUAGAUACCCGAGUA
rnacentral:rRNA from 1 species